rnacentral:lncRNA from 1 species
ACACCAACACAGAACAGAGUCUGCGAUUGUAAACCUGGGUUUUACAAGAGUAAUGAUGACUGUAAACCCUGUAAUAGUUGCCAAAUCUGCACCGAAUGUUUGAAUUGUAAAAAGAAUUGUAACCAAGAAACAGCUAUUAAAACCACAGCAGUAGUGUGUGGGCUUGGAUAUUUUACGGAAAGUGGACAAUGCCAAAGCUGUGUUAAGUAUGGGGUCUAAUAUUCACUUUUUCUGUACAUCUUCUGAAUCUUAAUGGAUUUUUGGUAGAUUACUCUAUUCGUGGAGAAUAAGGAUUUUUUGUUUAUUCAAGUAUUUAGCAUGUAGGUUAAUGGGUUGUGGUUUUCCUGUGCAUAAGGUUUAGCAUCCGCAUCAGAAUUUCCUGCAUUUGUAAUAAUGUUCACCAGCGUUAUUAGCAACGAAACACUAUUUCAGUUUCCAGCACACCAAAGAAUGUGAUGAAUCUUUUUCUUUUAAAACUUGUGAUUAUGGAAAUGUUUUUUAUAGUAAAUGCAUUUGUAGUUAUUUAUGUUUUGCAUAUGUUUGUCAUGAAAGUGUCUUGGGUCAAAGCACAAGUUAAGUAUAAAUGCUCUGUUGCUUAAUGUAAUUUGUUGCAGGUAUAAGUGUAAGAAUGAAUCCUGUAAAUCUUUUUGUCCACAUACCACAGCUGAAACACAAGAUUUACCUGACCCGCUGUUGCUGGUGUUACUGGUCAUUGUGACCUUAAUGGGUGGUCUACUCUCUCUUCUUCUCAUCUGGCUCUGCAGACGGAGAUGGCUUUGCUGUCGAGCCAGAAUCUGGAAUGUUGGCAAACAUCCACACAUUCAGAUUCAACCAGCAGAUCAACCUAAUGAUGUAAUCAGCAUUCCCACAGCAAUGGAAAGAAAUGGAGCCACUAUUAAAACUUUACCAGUGACCAGCUACCCACACAGCGUCCUCAGUGGAGAUUUACAGAGCAUCAUGGCCCCCCUGAUAGCAAGCAGAAACCCAAAAUUGAUGCAGGUGUUGCAGAAGGAGUCCUGGCCAGCACCAGUGCUCUACACUGUCAUAAGAGCGAUUCCCGUGAUGCGCUGGAAGGAAUUUUUGCGACUGCUUUCUGUGUCAGAUGAUCAGAUGGAACGGAUCGAACUGGAGGCAGGCCCAUCCUAUCUGGAAAAGCAGUAUCAUAUGCUACGUCUGUGGAGCCAGAGCAGUGGAGCGAAGAUGGAGAAUAUCUACUCGACAUUACACUACAUGAACCUGUCAGGCUGUGCCCAGGAACUGCAAGAGAAGCUAGAACAAUUGCAAGCAAGCAUGUAAAACUGACUCAUCUUCACUCCGUCUCCUCAUGUGUGCGAGCUGCAGUUGCAUUUCAAAAUCAUUUCCAAGGAACUCUGAAUAGAAGACGCUCUGUCUUCUGAACAGGAAACCCUCAGUCAUGGUUAAAAAUAUUCUUUGUGAAUUGUUUUAUUUAAGCAUAAUGUAAAAGUAAUGCAGAUUAUUAUGCAUAUCAUAGGUGCUUUGUAAUAACCUAUUUGUUACUUUUCUUAAUAAAAACAUAAUAAAUGUGUGGAAGAUGUCUGGCUCAAAUCUUGACAGCAACAUGUAGUUAUAAAAUGGAAAGUGU